rfam:Salmo salar isolate Sally breed double haploid chromosome ssa21, whole genome shotgun sequence.
AAUGGCACUAACUGUAAGUCGCUCUGGAUAAGAGCAUCUGCUAAAUGACUAAAA